GUGAUAUGAUUGUCAUUUGACACCUUCCCAGAUGGGGAAAGUCUGACAAGCAAAAGUCAAUGGUAGAAGCCAGAUUUGCUUAACAAUUGCACGGUUCACUCAACAAAUGCAUACAUUUGUUUAAUAACCAUGGCAAAAAAGGCUGUAAAAUUAGGAGUGACUCACUUAACUGCUUUGCUUCACAAUAGAAAUUCUGGACUCAAUUGGGGUCAUAAGUUGAGAAGUAUCUGUAUUCUGAACUGAAUGAAACAGAGCGCUCUUGUAUGAAACCUAUGAAACCACUAGUGGGUGAUUCUGAUUGAGACUUUUAUAUAACAAACCUACUGAACUAGGAAGUAGGAUUGCCUCCACUUUUGAUUUCAGUACUUUCAUCCUUAAGUUUCAAUGCCUAAUAAUAUUAUUCUAAGACCCAAAGUUAAGGAUAAUCUUUCCAAUAUCUAUUGUUCUUCGCAUUGUGUGGGGGGAAAAAACAUGAUGAAGACAUCUGAGAUAUGCAAUUUGUUAUGAGAUGUUCUUGGAGACUUUUAUUUUUCACACUUAACUGUCCAUCUUUCUCAGAUCCCUCACCUUUAGCUUUGAUAUGUGUGAUAUUCAUUUGUAUGAACUCUACUGCAUAUUCUGCCUGGGUACCAGCACUCAUCUGGUCUAACAGCAGGCCAGAAUUUCUGCAGUUAAGUGAUCCCUUAGGAGUAAUAAUAUCAUCUUGAAGAGUAUUUUCCUUGGUCUUUGCCAUUUUUAGCAACAGUGCUUUGUUGAGACUGGAAGCUGAAAUAUGUAUUUCCUUUUCUGCUUCCUAUCCAAAAGAAGGUAGAAGCUUUGAUCUUGAUAAUUUGAAAACAUGAUUCAGGACUUCUAUUUGCUUUCCUCCUUAGAGCUAUAGAUAACAUUUCUUCCUAUGUGACUGCUUCUUUGAGUAGCUUCUUCCCUAUGUUUAACUUUCAAUUUACUAGUGAUUUAAAUCAGAUUUAAAUCGUGAUUUAAAUCAACUUGAUUUAAAUCAAAUCCACCCUGUAAUGUUUACUAUGUGAGUGUGGAUUUUGCUCCCUGUUCAUAGGUCAAAAUCCAUACUUAUUUGCACUGCUGAUGAUGACUAAUAUUUGUACACAAGCAGACAACCAGGUUCAAAGCAUCCCUGGACUACAUAUGUUCUCUUGCUUUCCUUAUUCAUUUAUUGAUGUACUUUUUACCAGGCUUCCAUGUGGCCCACUUUUUGCCCCGCAAAGUGUUGCAAGAGGACUGGAUUGGACUGGAUUACAAUAAUGUGGACCCAAGGCUGAUCUAAACUAUUUAUUAAAUGUGCAUGCCUGCCAUCUCUCAACAACUCUGGAC